rnacentral:rRNA from 1 species
GACGAACGCUGGCGGCGUGCUUAACACAUGCAAGUCGAACGGUGAAGCGCCUUCCUUUUUGGUGGGUGUGGAUGAGUGGCGAACGGGUGAGUAACACGUGAGUAACCUGCCCCCUUCUUCUGGAUAACCGCAUGAAAGUGUGGCUAAUACGGGAUAUUCUGGGUCUGUCGCAUGAUGGGUCUGGGAAAGAUAUUGUUUCGGUGGGGGAUGGGCUCGCGGCCUAUCAGCUUGUUGGUGGGGUGAUGGCCUACCAAGGCGGUGACGGGUAGCCGGCCUGAGAGGGUGGACGGUCAUACUGUGACUGGGACACGGCCCAGACUCCUACGGGAGGCAGCAGUGGGGAAUAUUGCACAAUGGGCGCAAGCCUGAUGCAGCGACGCCGCGUGAGGGAUGGAGGCCUUCGGGUUGUGAACCUCUUUCGCCAGUGAAGCAGGCCUGCCUCGUUUGUGGGUGGGUUGACGGUAGCUGGAUAAGAAGCGCCGGCUAACUACGUG